GGCGGCGUGCCUAACACAUGCAAGUCGAACGGGGUAAUUUCUUCGGAGAUUACUUAGUGGCGAACGGGUGAGUAACGCGUGAGAAACCUGCCUUUCAGUGGGGGACAACAGUUGGAAACGACUGCUAGUACCGCAUAAUGUUAUUUAAGGGCAUCCUUGAAUAACCAAAGCUUAUGUGCUGAAAGAUGGUCUCGCGUCUGAUUAGCUAGAUGGCGGGGUAACGGCCCACCAUGGCGACGAUCAGUAGCCGGUCUGAGAGGAUGAACGGCCACAUUGGGACUGAGAUACGGCCCAGACUCCUACGGGAGGCAGCAGUGGGGAAUAUUGGGCAAUGGGGGAAACCCUGACCCAGCAACGCCGCGUGAUGGAAGAAGGCCUUCGGGUUGUAAACUUCUUUUACCAGGGACGAAGAAAAUGACGGUACCUGGAGAAAAAGCAACGGCUAACUACGUGCCAGCAGCCGCGGUAAUACGUAGGUUGCAAGCGUUGUCCGGAUUUACUGGGUGUAAAGGGCGUGUAGGCGGAGAUGCAAGUUGGGAGUGAAAUCCCGAGGCUCAACCCCGGAACUGCUUUCAAAACUGUAUCCCUUGAGUGUCGGAGAGGCAAGCGGAAUUCCUAGUGUAGCGGUGAAAUGCGUAGAUAUUAGGAGGAACACCAGUGGCGAAGGCGGCUUGCUGGACGAUAACUGACGCUGAGGCGCGAAAGCGUGGGGGAGAAACAGGAUUAGAUACCCUGGUAGUCCACGCUGUAAACGAUGAAUACUAGGUGUGGGAGGACUGACCCCUUCCGUGCCGCAGUUAACACAAUAAGUAUUCCACCUGGGGGAGUACGACCGCAAGGGUUGAAACUCAAAGGAAUUGACGGGGGCCCGCACAAGCAGUGGGAUUAUGUGGUUUAAUUCGACGCAACGCGAAAGAACCUUACCAGGAUUUGACAUCCUACUAACGAAGCAGAGAUGCAUUAGGUGCCCUUCGGGGAAAGUAGAGACAGGUGGUGCAUGGUUGUCGUCAGCUCGUGUCGUGAGAUGUUGGGUUAAGUCCUGCAACGAGCGCAACCCUCGUGUAUAGUUGCCAAUAUUAAGUUAGGAACUCUAUACAGACCGCCGUGGUUAACACGGAGGAAGGUGGGGAUGACGUCAAAUCAUCACGGCCCUUACGUUCUGGGCCACACCCGUGCUACAAUGGCUAUUACAAAGAGCAGCGAAACGGUAACGUGGAGCGAAUCUCAUAAAGAUAGUCUCAGUUCAGAUUGUGGGCUGCAACUCGCCCACAUGAAGUAGGAGUUGCUAGUAAUCCCGAAUCAGCAUGUCGGGGUGAAUGCGUUCCCGGGUCUUGCAC
rnacentral:rRNA from 1 species